rnacentral:rRNA from 1 species
GGGUUGUGAGGUUAAGCGACUAAGCGUACACGGUGGAUGCCCUGGCAGUCAGAGGCGAUGAAGGACGUGCUAAUCUGCGAUAAGCGUCGGUAAGGUGAUAUGAACCGUUAUAACCGGCGAUUUCCGAAUGGGGAAACCCAGUGUGUUUCGACACACUAUCAUUAACUGAAUCCAUAGGUUAAUGAGGCGAACCGGGGGAACUGAAACAUCUAAGUACCCCGAGGAAAAGAAAUCAACCGAGAUUCCCCCAGUAGCGGCGAGCGAACGGGGAGCAGCCCAGAGCCUGAAUCAGUGUGUGUGUUAGUGGAAGCGUCUGGAAAGGCGCGCGAUACAGGGUGACAGCCCCGUACACAAAAAUGCACAUGCUGUGAGCUCGAUGAGUAGGGCGGGACACGUGGUAUCCUGUCUGAAUAUGGGGGGACCAUCCUCCAAGGCUAAAUACUCCUGACUGACCGAUAGUGAACCAGUACCGUGAGGGAAAGGCGAAAAGAACCCCGGCGAGGGGAGUGAAAAAGAACCUGAAACCGUGUACGUACAAGCAGUGGGAGCACGCUUAGGCGUGUGACUGCGUACCUUUUGUAUAAUGGGUCAGCGACUUAUAUUCUGUAGCAAGGUUAACCGAAUAGGGGAGCCGAAGGGAAACCGAGUCUUAACUGGGCGUUAAGUUGCAGGGUAUAGACCCGAAACCCGGUGAUCUAGCCAUGGGCAGGUUGAAGGUUGGGUAACACUAACUGGAGGACCGAACCGACUAAUGUUGAAAAAUUAGCGGAUGACUUGUGGCUGGGGGUGAAAGGCCAAUCAAACCGGGAGAUAGCUGGUUCUCCCCGAAAGCUAUUUAGGUAGCGCCUCGUGAAUUCAUCUCCGGGGGUAGAGCACUGUUUCGGCAAGGGGGUCAUCCCGACUUACCAACCCGAUGCAAACUGCGAAUACCGGAGAAUGUUAUCACGGGAGACACACGGCGGGUGCUAACGUCCGUCGUGAAGAGGGAAACAACCCAGACCGCCAGCUAAGGUCCCAAAGUCAUGGUUAAGUGGGAAACGAUGUGGGAAGGCCCAGACAGCCAGGAUGUUGGCUUAGAAGCAGCCAUCAUUUAAAGAAAGCGUAAUAGCUCACUGGUCGAGUCGGCCUGCGCGGAAGAUGUAACGGGGCUAAACCAUGCACCGAAGCUGCGGCAGCGACGCUGAUGCGUUGUUGGGUAGGGGAGCGUUCUGUAAGCCUGUGAAGGUGUGCUGUGAGGCAUGCUGGAGGUAUCAGAAGUGCGAAUGCUGACAUAAGUAACGAUAAAGCGGGUGAAAAGCCCGCUCGCCGGAAGACCAAGGGUUCCUGUCCAACGUUAAUCGGGGCAGGGUGAGUCGACCCCUAAGGCGAGGCCGAAAGGCGUAGUCGAUGGGAAACAGGUUAAUAUUCCUGUACUUGGUGUUACUGCGAAGGGGGGACGGAGAAGGCUAUGUUGGCCGGGCGACGGUUGUCCCGGUUUAAGCGUGUAGGCUGGUUUUCCAGGCAAAUCCGGAAAAUCAAGGCUGAGGCGUGAUGACGAGGCACUACGGUGCUGAAGCAACAAAUGCCCUGCUUCCAGGAAAAGCCUCUAAGCAUCAGGUAACAUCAAAUCGUACCCCAAACCGACACAGGUGGUCAGGUAGAGAAUACCAAGGCGCUUGAGAGAACUCGGGUGAAGGAACUAGGCAAAAUGGUGCCGUAACUUCGGGAGAAGGCACGCUGAUAUGUAGGUGAGGUCCCUCGCGGAUGGAGCUGAAAUCAGUCGAAGAUACCAGCUGGCUGCAACUGUUUAUUAAAAACACAGCACUGUGCAAACACGAAAGUGGACGUAUACGGUGUGACGCCUGCCCGGUGCCGGAAGGUUAAUUGAUGGGGUUAGCGCAAGCGAAGCUCUUGAUCGAAGCCCCGGUAAACGGCGGCCGUAACUAUAACGGUCCUAAGGUAGCGAAAUUCCUUGUCGGGUAAGUUCCGACCUGCACGAAUGGCGUAAUGAUGGCCAGGCUGUCUCCACCCGAGACUCAGUGAAAUUGAACUCGCUGUGAAGAUGCAGUGUACCCGCGGCAAGACGGAAAGACCCCGUGAACCUUUACUAUAGCUUGACACUGAACAUUGAGCCUUGAUGUGUAGGAUAGGUGGGAGGCUUAGAAGUGUGGACGCCAGUCUGCAUGGAGCCGACCUUGAAAUACCACCCUUUAAUGUUUGAUGUUCUAACGUUGACCCGUAAUCCGGGUUGCGGACAGUGUCUGGUGGGUAGUUUGACUGGGGCGGUCUCCUCCUAAAGAGUAACGGAGGAGCACGAAGGUUGGCUAAUCCUGGUCGGACAUCAGGAGGUUAGUGCAAUGGCAUAAGCCAGCUUGACUGCGAGCGUGACGGCGCGAGCAGGUGCGAAAGCAGGUCAUAGUGAUCCGGUGGUUCUGAAUGGAAGGGCCAUCGCUCAACGGAUAAAAGGUACUCCGGGGAUAACAGGCUGAUACCGCCCAAGAGUUCAUAUCGACGGCGGUGUUUGGCACCUCGAUGUCGGCUCAUCACAUCCUGGGGCUGAAGUAGGUCCCAAGGGUAUGGCUGUUCGCCAUUUAAAGUGGUACGCGAGCUGGGUUUAGAACGUCGUGAGACAGUUCGGUCCCUAUCUGCCGUGGGCGCUGGAGAACUGAGGGGGGCUGCUCCUAGUACGAGAGGACCGGAGUGGACGCAUCACUGGUGUUCGGGUUGUCAUGCCAAUGGCACUGCCCGGUAGCUAAAUGCGGAAGAGAUAAGUGCUGAAAGCAUCUAAGCACGAAACUUGCCCCGAGAUGAGUUCUCCCUGACCCUUUAAGGGUCCUGAAGGAACGUUGAAGACGACGACGUUGAUAGGCCGGGUGUGUAAGCGCAGCGAUGCGUUGAGCUAACCGGUACUAAUGAACCGUGAGGCUUAACCUUACAACGCCGAAG